UCCUGGGUGAGCAGUGGCGAACGGGUGAGUAACACGUGAGUAACCUGCCCCUGACUCUGGAAUAAGCGCUGGAAACGGCGUCUAAUACCGGAUACGAGACGCAACCGCAUGGUUAGUGUCUGGAAAGUUUUUCGGUCUGGGAUGGACUCGCGGCCUAUCAGCUUGUUGGUGAGGUAACGGCUCACCAAGGCAAUGACGGGUAGCCGGCCUGAGAGGGCGAUCGGCCACACUGGGACUGAGACACGGCCCAGACUCCUACGGGAGGCAGCAGUGGGGAAUAUUGCACAAUGGGCGAAAGCCUGAUGCAGCGACGCCGCGUGAG
rnacentral:rRNA from 1 species